ACUCAUUUGGCAGCUAUCAACGGAGUAUUCACAGUACGCUGCUCACAGUUCUAACCGCGGAGGAUAGAGUUGAGGCCCACACGACAGCCCCUGCUCUCACAGAACUGAUGUCUCUAGAAGAGUCUUCCCUCAGUGAGAACGUUCUGAUUUCUAGAACAUUCUUUCUUCUGAUGAGUGAACAGCCUCACCGGAACUUCCCCAUCCUCCUGGCUUGGUUCCUGAAGUGGCCCAAGGCUGCCUUCUCCCUCCCGUGGGUGAACAGGGUCACUGCUUCCUCUCUUGUCCAGGCCCCCUGGCCUGACCCUGAGUCCCGGGCGUAACGGCGUUGUUGAACCACCACAACCCCAGGCGGCGCCUUCCUCUUGGCCCAGGGGCUCUCUUGGGGACAGUGUGCAGUACUCCCCAAGGGGGCUUUGCUGUGCAAAAGCAGCCCCUGCCGAUGCUGCGGCUCCCGUGGAUGGAGCACUGCCGUGGGAACAGAGUUGGAACUCAUCCAAAAGAAUAAAAGACAACUGUGUUGGAAGAUUGCCAAGGUUUGUAGCUGUGCCACCGCAGACUUCAGAGAUGAACACUGCCUUGGAGACGAGGAGGAUUCAAGUUGCAGAAGCAUUUAGCAGGAAUCAGGAAAAUAUAAACUGCUUGAAGUACCAGUCUUCUUUACGAAGUCUUCACGUGCCCCAGGAGUCCUCCAGUUAGGGUGCCAUUAGCCAGGAGAGCUCCUGCCCAGAAUUUGUACCCAGCCACAUUGACACCCAGAAUGGAGCUACCUUGCCCAGCUUCCCUUACAACCAGGCAAGGAUGUCACAAUGUAGAACCAAUGGGAUGAAGGCAGAAACGUUGUGCGGCAGCUGCUGAGAACCUUCCUUAAAACCUAGUCAGAAUGAACCCUAUACAACCCUAUACCCAUCUGCCUUGGCAUACAGUUGUUGAAUCCUGGGCUGCGAGGACAGAGGUCCCUUCCAGGGGUGAUGGAGUGGUGAGUAGAAGGGAGCCUGGGUCCUGAGGACUUAAGGCAGAGUUGCCUUACCAGCUGUGGAAGGCAGAGCUUGGGCCUCAUGACUUUUGCCCUUGGCAUUAUUCAUGGAUAUGUUACAUUACAUGGCAAAAUGUAAUUAAGGUACCAAUUAGUUGACCUUAAAAUCGGAAGAUUGUCCUGGAUUCACCAGGUGGACCUAGUUUAAAUUGUAUGAGCCCUUGAAAGGGAAGAUCUUUUUCCAGCCCGUCGCAGAAGGGGAAGGCAGAGAUUUGAAGCAUGAGAAGGAUUCGCCAUGCAAUUAUUGGCUUGAAGAUGAGGGCAUCUGCAUGUCAAGGAGAUAGGGAUCUCAGUUUCACAACUGCAAUGAACUGAAUUCUGCUAACAACCUAGAUGCACUUGUAAGUGGAUUCUUCCCCAGAGUCUGCAGACAGCCCAGCCCAGCCAACACUUUGAAAGCCAAAGUGGAUUUUAGCUUUGAGAGUCCCUGAGCACAGAACGCAACUGCGCCACACUGUACCAGGACUUCUGGUCCAUGGAUGCUGUGAGCUAAUAACUUUGUGUCUUUUAAAGCUGCUGCAUGUGUGGUGAUUUGCUAUGCAGCAAUAGACAAUGGACAGGCUAGCCUGUAUGUAAGUGAAAAACAUCGUUUGUUUUCUUCUCAAUUGCAGCCCAACCUGAUCACAACUAAUGCACAAACAAAUAAUCCAAGGCUGAACUGUUGACUGUGGAGACAGGAGAUGCAGUGAAGAAUAUUUCUAUUUGAGUGACCCAGGUGGAGGAAGAGAGUGGAGGCAAGAAUAUAGAUGUAAGCAUCCUUGACCUCCCCAAUUCAUUGCUGGGCAGGAGGCAGAUAAACAGAGGCUUCCAGAAGGGUUCAUGUGAGUCCUGGAGCAGAAGGUUUGUCCAUGCAUCUUCAGACAUGGCCUGGAAAGAUUACUCACCUCUCAGAAAAAUCUGGGGGGCUGCUGCUUCUCAUAUUGAGUUAGAAGGCAGAGCUUGGACACUGGACCAAAUUGAGGACUAGCUAAAAUGCGGAUGGGGCAAAAACAACUUUCUAUAAGAUAUGCCCAACAGAGUGCCAUGUCGGUUUACCAUUGCCAGGGCAACACUCGAGCGGUACCACCUUUGUCCAUGGCAAUGACUCAACCACCUAGAAAUUACCACUCUUUUUCAAGAAAUUUUUGCAUAAUCUGUCCCUUAAUUUUCAAAGUAAAUAUAAGUGUGAGUACAAAACUGCUUCUGAGCUGCUGCUCUGGGCACACUGCCUCUGGGGUAGCCCUGCUCCACAAGGCACAACACCUCUGCUGCUGCUUCAAUAGAAGUUGCUGUCUAGCACCACUGGCUCACCCUUAAAUUCUUUCCUGGGCAAAGGCAACAACCCUCCCAGGUGAAGCCUCGAUUUUGGGUUCACCUGCCUUGCAUCAGUAUGACACGCAAAAGCAAAGAGAAGAUUCUUGGCGGUGGGUGUGAGAUGUGAUUCUCAGGUUCCCAGGGUCUUGGGCAAGCUAUUCCUUGGAGCUGGGCAUGCGAUGGGUGUGAUGGCAGCCUUGGGCUCUCCAAAGAAAGGCAGCCCCAGCAGGACAGUGGAAUUGGUGGGGAAGAAACACAGCCUUG
rnacentral:lncRNA from 10 species